rnacentral:ncRNA from 2 species
GAGGCAUCCCCGGGGGGCCGUAUAAAUACGGCUGAGAAUGAGCUGAUUGCUCUAACCCGUCGAACCUGAUCCGGCUUAACACCGGCGUAGGGAGGGAAGGCAUCAGACCU